rnacentral:tRNA from 1 species
UGAAGGUGUAGCUUAGUGGGAAAGCACUUGUCUAGCAUGUGAAAGACUUUGGUUUCAAUCCCCAGCCCUUCAA